UGUGUUACCAUAUGAUCCAACAUUUUGUAUUUCUCAUGGAAGGAUAUGCUUGUGGUCCGGAAGGGUUUGGUUCACGGGGUUUGACCGUCAAAUCAAAGGUUCAUGCAGUCAUCGAGAGUUGCUGGGAAGAAGAUGGGUACUGAUUUACACAACGAUCGGUUCGAUCCAAAUUUCUGAGCUCAUACCAAAAUAUUUCUUUUACAACUUGCGUCGUGUAUAUUGGGACUCGAUUGUGAUCUAUAUCAGGUGAGUAAAUCAUGCUCGGUACUAUAAUUAUGUUGUAAAUUAAUGAAAGAUGACGAUGUUUUAAUUAUCGAGGUUA